rnacentral:rRNA from 1 species
UACGGGGGGUGCGAGCGUUGUCCGGAAUCACUGGGCGUAAAGGGCGCGUAGGUGGUUUGAUAAGGGUGUGGUGAAAGUCCGGAGCUCAACUCCGGAUCUGCCGUGCCGACUGUCAAACUCGAGGGCUGUAGAGGCAGACGGAAUUCCGGGUGUAGCGGUGGAAUGCGCAGAUAUCAGGAGGAACACCGGUGGCGAAGGCGGGUCUCUGGGCCGUAACUGACGCUGAGGAGCGAAAGCAUGGGGAGCGAACAGG